CAAAAUGUAAAUACAGCGAAACAAAAAUAAAACAAACCAGAAAAUCAGCACGUCGAGAUCUCUGAGCAACUCUAUGAAAGUCCAAAAUCAACUAUAAUAUCAAAAGGAUCCCUGUGUCUGCAAAACUGGAGACCAAGGAAUGUAGCAAGUUAGCCAAAUGGCUAAGUGGAUACUCAAGAAAGAUGUGCAUGAAUUUAAUCAUAU